AUGGCUUGUUGCCACAUGAAUGCCAGCUUCCACCAGCAGCUGUUUUGGACAUCGAAGCAUCUGAGGACACCUUUCCAUCUUGGAAAAGCACUGCCAUCACCAGCAUCACACCGGGGCUGCCAUGGAGCUGGGAAAAGCGCUUCCAGCUCUUGUUCCUGGCCAAAGCUGAUGAAGAAGCACUACUGGCAGCGUUAUGGUGAGGAACACAUGAUGAUGCUCCAGCCCUGCAGGUUCUGCUGGUCCCCAGGUGCUGGGAGCUGCAGGCUCCUUCCCAGGCACUUCCAAUGCACCCUGCAGGCUGCGUUGCUCGAGUCAUGUAGCUGUGUUGCUUUUCAGGCAGUUUAGACAGUUUUUAUGAAGGUAAGAAGAUUUUUCUUUUGAUUUUUUUUUUAAAAGAACUUACUAUUUUCUUGAAUUCCUCACCCAUGCACGUCAGUGGGGUCUCAGACCAGCUGGUUUUGGACGCACUCGGAAAUCCCCGCAGGGCUUGUUUUCUGGCAGGGCUGGGAUGCUCUUCCUGCUGGUAGCUAGCCUACCAUGAGAACGUUUCUUUUUAUUUAGUCGCAUUUAUUUAUUUGUCCAAACACACAGCAGCCCAAGCAUGUAUUUGUGUAUGUGUGCUCAAAUGUCUUCCAAAAGCCACUCCUACCACCCCUGCAAAAUAGUUUGAGGAUGAUACAAGAACGAUAAAUAUCUGGCCAAGGGGAAUGUUUUGGAGUGAAUGAACGGGAGUUGUGAAUGGAGACGGCUGUGGCAGCACGGCACUGUGGUGGCACUGAUUUCACCCAGCAUGGGACCGGGGGAGCAGAGGCAAUGCCCGGGCAUCCCAGGGGAGAGGCAAAGUCCAGGAGUGCCCAGUGAGGAAAGUCCCUCGCUCAAGCAAGACACUUCAUGCCCCAUUCAAGCUUCUGUUCUGGCCUGGAUUGAAGUCUGGGUUUGUGCUUAAUUCUUCAUCCUGAAAUCCACGCUUAACUCAACAUGGGCUUGGAAAGGGGAAGCAGGGAUUUGAAAUCCAUGGCAGGAAUUAGCUGUGCUGUUCAUAAAGGCUUUCAGCUUAAUCAUGGAAUAUUUUUUCUAAUUCAUAAGAAAUUCUAGUACAUGGGACUAAAAUAAUGUCACUUUAUUAUUAAUACCCAGGGAAAGCCUCAGGGACUGUGUCCCUGUUAAAAGAUGGUUUACAUUUUAGUAAAAUACUGCCUGUAUAGGUAUGUUUCUGGACAUGUUUCUUUUUUUUUUUUUCCUUCGGUCUU
rnacentral:lncRNA from 1 species